UACGGGGGGAGCAAGCGUUGUUCGGAUUUACUGGGCGUAAAGGGCGCGUAGGCGGUCAGCACAAGUCAGUUGUGAAAUCUCCGGGCUUAACCCGGAAAGGUCAACUGAUACUGUGCGACUAGAGUGCGGAAGGGGCAACUGGAAUUCUCGGUGUAGCAGUGAAAUGCGUAGAUAUCAAGAGGAACACCAGUGGCGAAGGCGAGUCCCUGGACGAUACCUGACACUGAGGCACGAAAGCCAAGGGAGCAAACAGG
rnacentral:rRNA from 1 species